GGGGGAUUACCCCAUUUUACAGAAGGGGAAACUGAGAGCUCCGGGGCAGUGGCCGAGGAAGAGGAGCAGCAUCUGAGGCCUUGGGGGGCCCCCAGGAGGACCCGAGCCAGUGACUAUGGAGAGCGGGACGAGGGCCCGAGACUCCGCCCUCCCCCGAGCCAUAAACCCAGGUCAGCAUGAAGAGGGAACGACCCCUGGGCUCCUGGUGGCCCCCAGCUCCCUGGUGAGUGGAUAUUCCCUGUGGGAUCCUGGAGCCCCUGCCCCCAAGUUCACACACGCCUGCAGCUGGGAGGGUGCUUGGGGACCAUCCUUGUUCUGUCUCUGACGGGGAAACCGAGGCACAGAGUGAUGACGUGUUUGACCAUUAUUAGGAGCCAAUACUCUCCUGGACUAUAUGUGUUUUCAGUGCUCCUGGCAUCUCACAACCCACAGGCUCUCCCUCUCCCCCAGAUAGAAGCCCUCCUUGCCACUAGUGAUGACAGGCAGGCAAACGAAAGUUACCCCUGGGCUGUGUUGGCCAUGAGGCGUCUCCAUUCAUGCCCUCUCUGGCUGGCAGCUUAGGAAACUUUGUUUUCCUUGGGAGGCAGGAACAAGGGGAAGGGCAAAGGAAGGAA